rnacentral:rRNA from 1 species
AGAGUUUGAUCAUGGCUCAGGAUGAACGCUAGCUACAGGCUUAACACAUGCAAGUCGAGGGGAAACGAUAUUGGAAGCUUGCUUCCGAUAGGCGUCGACCGGCGCACGGGUGGGUAACGCGUAUCCAACCUGCCCACCACUUGGGGAUAACCUUGCGAAAGUAAGACUAAUACCCAAUGACGUCUCUAGAAGACAUCUGAAAGAGAUUAAAGAUUUAUCGGUGAUGGGUGGGGAUGCGUCUGAUUAGCUUGUUGGCGGGUAACGCCACAAGGCUACGAUCAGUAGGGUUCUGAGAGGAAGGUCCCCCANAUUGGAACUGAGACACGGUCCAAACUCCUACGGGAGCA